UACGUAGGGUGCAAGCGUUGUCCGGAAUUAUUGGGCGUAAAGAGCUCGUAGGCGGUUUGUUGCGUCGGCUGUGAAAUCCCGAGGCUCAACCUUGGGCUUGCAGUGGGUACGGGCAGACUAGAGUGCGGUAGGGGUGACUGGAAUUCCUGGUGUAGCGGUGGAAUGCGCAGAUAUCAGGGGGAACACCGAUGGCGAAGGCAGGUCACUGGGCCGCAACUGACGCUGAGGAGCGAAAGCAUGGGGAGCGAACAGG
rnacentral:rRNA from 1 species